UACGUAGGAGGCGAGCGUUGUCCGGAAUCACUGGGUGUAAAGCGCGUGUAGGCGGCCUGCCAAGUCUGCUGUGAAAGCGCCUGGCUUAACCGGGGAGGGUCGUUGGGGACGGCGGGGCUUGAGGGCGGGAGAGGUCGGUGGAAUUCCCGGUGUAGUGGUGAAAUGCGUAGAGAUCGGGAGGAACACCUGUGGCGAAGGCGGCCGACUGGGCCGACCCUGACGCUGAGGCGCGAAGGCGUGGGGAGCGAACGGG
rnacentral:rRNA from 1 species